rnacentral:rRNA from 1 species
CCUACGGGUGACAGCAGUGAGGAAUAUUGGUCAAUGGACGAGAGUCUGAACCAGCCAAGUAGCGUGAAGGAUGACUGCCCUAUGGGUUGUAAACUUCUUUUAUAUGGGAAUAAAACGUUCCACGUGUGGGAUUUUGUAUGUACCAUAUGAAUAAGGAUCGGCGAACUCCGUGCCAGCAGCCGAGGUAAUACGGAGGAUCCGAGCGUUAUCCGGAUUUAUUGGGUUUAAAGGGAGCGUAGGUGGAUUAUUAAGUCAGUUGUGAAAGUUUGCGGCUCAACCGUAAAAUUGCAGUUGAAACUGGCAGUCUUGAGUACAGUAGAGGUGGGCGGAAUUCGUGGUGUAGCGGUGAAAUGCUUAGAUAGCACGAAGAACUCCGAUUGCGAAGGCAGUUCACUGGACUGCAACUGACACUGAGGCUCGAAAGUGUGGGUAUCAAACAGGAUUAGAUACCCUUGUAGUC